GCAGUAGGGAAUAUUGGGCAAUGGGCGAGAGCCUGACCCAGCCAUGCCGCGUGCAGGAUGAAGGCUUUCUGAGUCGUAAACUGCUUUUGCCAGGGAAGAAAAAGAGGGAUGCGUCCUUCACUGACGGUACCUGGUGAAUAAGCACCGGCUAACUCCGUGCCAGCAGCCGCGGUAAUACGGAGGGUGCAAGCGUUGUCCGGAUUUAUUGGGUUUAAAGGGUGCGUAGGCGGCUGAUUAAGUCUGGGGUGAAAGCCCGUUGCUCAACAACGGAACUGCCCUGGAAACUGGUUAGCUUGAGUACAGACGAGGGUGGCGGAAUGGAUGCUGUAGCGGUGAAAUGCAUAGAUAGCAUCCAGAACCCCGAUUGCGAAGGCAGCUGCCUAGACUGUAACUGACGCUGAGGCACGAAAGCGUGGGGAGCGAACAGGAUUAGA
rnacentral:rRNA from 1 species